AUGGGGACUCGCAGGUCGGGGCGCUCCCACCCUCAGCUCCCCCAGCCCGGAGCCCCGCAGCGCUGUUUGCAGUGGCAGGGGCUGAGCUCAGCCGGUGGCAGCGGCUGCCCCAGUUUUGUCUGCUGCAAAAUGUGGGUCACCACGUUCGGAGCUGACCGAGGGGACGCGGGGGUGAUCGGUACCGGCACCGCCAGGAGGGAACUGGAGCCGGGGAACGCGGGGAAGGGCUUUGUGCUGAGUGCGGGCCUGAGGAAAGGGAUCGGGAAGGGGGUGGGGGGGGGUGGGGGAACCGCCGCCUCUUUUCCGACAUUCCUGCAGAGCCGGGAGCUCAGGGUCGGGUUUCGGGCAUUAUUUUGCGCCGCCAGCGCCGCACGGACACGGGGCAGCGAGUGCGGGGAGCGGAGCGGGGCUGCGGGAGCGGGGAGCUGCUGGGGGGGGUCGGGGGGGGUCGGGGGCUCUUUAUUGCGGGCGGUUUCUCCCCGCGCCGCCCCCACCCGCCGCCGCCCCGGCGCCUCAUCCCGCUGCGCCCGGGCACCCCGGCACCGCCGCACAAAGGCGGCCCGCUGCGCUGCGCUGCGCUGCGCACCCCCGGGGCCGGGCAGCGCCUCCGGGACCCCACGACCUUCCUUCCCCCCCCCCCAUUUAUCCCCCUUUAUCCCCACGCCGUCCCCUCGCGGCGCGGCUCAACAAAAGGCAGGAGCGGAGGUGAGCGGGGCGGGGCUCGAACCCGCGGCCCGACGGGCGGGAGGGCGGGGCGGAGGGAGGGGGCGUGGCUAUGCAAAUGAGGCAGCGGAGCCCCAUGGCGAGCGCUCGGGCUGCGGCGCCCACUCGGAGCCGGGGCCGCCGCCGCCGCAGCCCCCGGCCCGCCCCGCCGCGGGUUCGAGCCCCGCCCGCGCCGCCCCGCCCCGCUCCGCCGCUCCAUGGGCCGGGGACGCGGCGGUAGUUGCGACAUGGCGGGGGGCCGCGGGUGCCCGGCGCGGCGCUGAGCCCCGAGAGGUGAGAGCGGGGACGGAGGGGGAGCCGGGCAGCCACUACCGCGACUGUCGCCGCCGGGACCGGGAUGGGGGUCGGGGUCGGGAUGGGGCUGGGGCCGUCCCUGCAGCCAUCAAACUUUCCUCCUCGCUCAACUCGCCGCGACGUCCCGCGGUGGCGGCGCGUGUCCCGGCUCCCACGCGUGUCCCGAUCCCGUGUCACGCCCCCGUGGCUCCCGCUGCCCCCCGCAUCCCCGCUCCGCUCCCCCCCCCCCGUUCCGUCGGUUCCCACUCGUGCCGUGGGCAGUCGCUGGUCGCGGGGGUCGGUGCUGCGGUUCGUGCCGGACUCGGGCGUUGGGGGCUGCGGGGGGUCGGGGCUGCGCGGCGGGAGGGUCCGGCCGCGGGGUGA
rnacentral:lncRNA from 1 species